CCUACGGGAGGCAGCAGUGGGGAAUAUUGCGCAAUGGGCGAAAGCCUGAAGCAGCGACGCCGCGUGAGGGAUGAAUGUCUUCGGAUCGUAAACCUCUGUCAGCAGGGAAGAACGGUCACUGUGCUAAUCAGCAGUGAAUUGACGGUACCUGCAAAGGACGCACCGGCUCACUCCGUGCCAGCAGCCGCGGUAAUACGGAGGGUGCGAGCGUGAAUCGGAAUUACUGGGCGGAAAGCGAUCGUAGGCGGUAUGUCAAGUCAAGGGUGAAAUCACCGCGCUCAACGUGGGAACUGCAUUUGAAACUGGCAGACUGGAGUGCGUGAGAGGAGAGUGGAAUGCGAGGUGUAGGAGUGAAAU
rnacentral:rRNA from 1 species